rnacentral:tRNA from 1 species
UGGGCUAUAGCCAAGCGGUAAGGCAACGGACUUUGACUCCGUCAUGCGUUGGUUCAAAUCCAGCUAGCCAGCCA